GACGAACGCUGGCGGCGUGCCUAAUACAUGCAAGUCGAACGCUUCUUUCCUCCCGAGUGCUUGCACUCAAUUGGAAAGAGGAGUGGCGGACGGGUGAGUAACACGUGGGUAACCUACCCAUCAGAGGGGGAUAACACUUGGAAACAGGUGCUAAUACCGCAUAACAGUUUAUGCCGCAUGGCAUAAGAGUGAAAGGCGCUUUCGGGUGUCGCUGAUGGAUGGACCCGCGGUGCAUUAGCUAGUUGGUGAGGUAACGGCUCACCAAGGCCACGAUGCAUAGCCGACCUGAGAGGGUGAUCGGCCACACUGGGACUGAGACACGGCCCAGACUCCUACGGGAGGCAGCAGUAGGGAAUCUUCGGCAAUGGACGAAAGUCUGACCGAGCAACGCCGCGUGAGUGAAGAAGGUUUUCGGAUCGUAAAACUCUGUUGUUAGAGAAGAACAAGGACGUUAGUAACUGAACGUCCCCUGACGGUAUCUAACCGGAAAGCCACGGCUAACUACGUG
rnacentral:rRNA from 1 species